GGGGAUGUAGCUCAAAUGGUAGAGCGCUCGCUUUGCAUGCGAGAGUCAUGGGGUUCGAUCACCGCAUCUCCA
rnacentral:tRNA from 1 species